rnacentral:rRNA from 1 species
CGAACGCUGGCGGCGUGCCUAACACGAUGCAAGUCGAGCGAGGAGAUCCUUCGGGAUGAUCCUAGCGGCGGACGGGUGAGUAACACGUGGGCAACCUGCCUCAUAGAGAGGAAUAGCCUUCCGAAAGGGAGAUUAAUACCUCAUAACAUUGCAGUUUCGCAUGGAACAGCAAUUAAAGGAGUAAUCCGCUAUGAGAUGGGCCCGCGGCGCAUUAGCUAGUUGGUGAGGUAACGGCUCACCAAGGCGACGAUGCGUAGCCGACCUGAGAGGGUGAUCGGCCACAUUGGGACUGAGACACGGCCCAGACUCCUACGGGAGGCAGCAGUGGGGAAUAUUGCACAAUGGGGGAAACCCUGAUGCAAGCAACGCCGCGUGAGUGAUGACGGCCUUCGGGUUGUAAAGCUCUGUCUUCAGGGACGAUAAUGACGGUACCUGAGGAGGAAGCCACGGCUAACUACGUGCCAGCAGCCGC